rnacentral:rRNA from 1 species
UACGGGGGGGGCAAGCGUUGUUCGGAAUUACUGGGCGUAAAGGGCUCGUAGGCGGCCAACUAAGUCAGACGUGAAAUCCCUCGGCUUAACCGGGGAACUGCCCUCCAAACUGCUUCGCUUGAGACCGGGAGAGGUGAGUGGAAUUCCCAGUGUAGCGGUGAAAUGCGUAGAUAUUGGGAGGAACACCAGUGGCGAAGGCGGCUCACUGGACCGGUACUGACGCUGAUGCGCGAAAGCGUGGGGAGCAAACGGG